rnacentral:tRNA from 1 species
UCCUGGUGGCUCGGACGGUAAAGAAUCUGCCUGCAAUGCAGGAGGCCCAGGUUCGACCCCUGGGUCAGGAA